GGGUUUCAGGCUUUAUUCAGGCUUCUCAGAGAGGAGUUUAAGAUAAUGGGCAGCAGGUGUUUGCUAGUUGAGACACUUAAUUCUUCCCACAGAACCUUAUCAGCAAGAGCUGCAGGGCCCUGGUAGGGGGGACGCUGAGGUUGAGGGAGUCAGAGGCUGCAGCUCCAGGGAGAGACAGGAGGCAGCCAGGAGCGUGGGCUGAGGCACUGUGGACCUAGGGUGGGUGAGACACUUUCUUAUCAGACUUUGUUCCCUUUAAACUUCCCCAU
rnacentral:lncRNA from 1 species